CGGCACUAGAUGUAUGCUCGUCCUCGCUGUCGCCGCAGGGGAAUCCGGUGCGAAUCCGGAACUGUCCCGCAACGGUGUACUUGCGUGCAUUCGCACGCUCGCGUCAGUCCGAGGACCUGCCGGCAGCGCACCCGGCCG
rnacentral:ncRNA from 2 species